rnacentral:rRNA from 1 species
AGAGUUUGAUCCUGGCUCAGGACGAACGCUGGCGGCGUGCCUAAUACAUGCAAGUCGAACGCUUCUUUUUCCACCGGAGCUUGCUCCACCGGAAAAAGAGGAGUGGCGAACGGGUGAGUAACACGUGGGUAACCUGCCCAUCAGAAGGGGAUAACACUUGGAAACAGGUGCUAAUACCGUAUAACAAUCAAAACCGCAUGGUUUUGAUUUGAAAGGCGCUUUCGGGUGUCGCUGAUGGAUGGACCCGCGGUGCAUUAGCUAGUUGGUGAGGUAACGGCUCACCAAGGCCACGAUGCAUAGCCGACCUGAGAGGGUGAUCGGCCACAUUGGGACUGAGACACGGCCCAAACUCCUACGGGAGGCAGCAGUAGGGAAUCUUCGGCAAUGGACGAAAGUCUGACCGAGCAACGCCGCGUGAGUGAAGAAGGUUUUCGGAUCGUAAAACUCUGUUGUUAGAGAAGAACAAGGAUGAGAGUAACUGUUCAUCCCUUGACGGUAUCUAACCAGAAAGCCACGGCUAACUACGUGCCAGCAGCCGCGGUAAUACGUAGGUGGCAAGCGUUGUCCGGAUUUAUUGGGCGUAAAGCGAGCGCAGGCGGUUUCUUAAGUCUGAUGUGAAAGCCCCCGGCUCAACCGGGGAGGGUCAUUGGAAACUGGGAGACUUGAGUGCAGAAGAGGAGAGUGGAAUUCCAUGUGUAGCGGUGAAAUGCGUAGAUAUAUGGAGGAACACCAGUGGCGAAGGCGGCUCUCUGGUCUGUAACUGACGCUGAGGCUCGAAAGCGUGGGGAGCAAACAGGAUUAGAUACCCUGGUAGUCCACGCCGUAAACGAUGAGUGCUAAGUGUUGGAGGGUUUCCGCCCUUCAGUGCUGCAGCUAACGCAUUAAGCACUCCGCCUGGGGAGUACGACCGCAAGGUUGAAACUCAAAGGAAUUGACGGGGGCCCGCACAAGCGGUGGAGCAUGUGGUUUAAUUCGAAGCAACGCGAAGAACCUUACCAGGUCUUGACAUCCUUUGACCACUCUAGAGAUAGAGCUUCCCCUUCGGGGGCAAAGUGACAGGUGGUGCAUGGUUGUCGUCAGCUCGUGUCGUGAGAUGUUGGGUUAAGUCCCGCAACGAGCGCAACCCUUAUUGUUAGUUGCCAUCAUUCAGUUGGGCACUCUAGCAAGACUGCCGGUGACAAACCGGAGGAAGGUGGGGAUGACGUCAAAUCAUCAUGCCCCUUAUGACCUGGGCUACACCUGUCUCUUAUACACAUCUC